rnacentral:rRNA from 1 species
UUGGAGGGCAAGUCUGGUGCCAGCAGCCGCGGUAAUUCCAGCUCCAAUAGCGUAUAUUAAAGUUGUUGCAGUUAAAAGCUCGUAGUUGAAUUUCGGGAUCAAUAUAUUGGUCAUGCUUAGGUAUGUACUGGUAUUAUUGAUUUCUCCCUUCUGAAGAACCAUAAUGUCAUUAAUUUGAUGUCAUGGGGAAUCAGGACUGUUACUUUGAAAAAUUAGAGUGUUUAAAGCAGGCUUUCGCUUGAAUACAUUAGCAUGGAAUAAUGAAAUAGGACGUUUGAUUCUAUUUUGUUGGUUUCUAGGAUCGACGUAAUGAUUAAUAGGGAUAGUUGGGGGCAUUAGUAUUCAAUUGUCAGAGGUGAAAUUCUUGGAUUUAUUGAAGACUAACUACUGCGAAAGCAUUUGCCAAGGAUGUUUUCAUUAAUCAAGAACGAAAGUUAGGGGAUCGAAGACGAUCAGAUACCGUCGUAGUCUUAACCAUAAACUAUGCCGACUAGGGAUCGGAUGAUGUUAAUCUUUAAUGACUC